GAUGAACGCUAGCUACAGGCUUAACACAUGCAAGUCGAGGGGUAACGAGAGGAAAGCUUGCUUUCCUUGUCGACGACCGGCGCACGGGUGAGUAACGCGUAUCCAACCUGCCCCCAACUAGGGAAUAACCUUGCGAAAGUAAGACUAAUACCCUAUAAUUUCCUCAGAUGUCAUCUGACGAGGAAUAAAGAUUUAUCGGUUGUGGAUGGGGAUGCGUCUGAUUAGCUUGUGGCGGGGUAACGGCCCACCAAGGCAACGAUCAGUAGGGGUUCUGCGAGGAAGGACCCCCACAUUGGAACUGAGACACGGUCCAAACGCCAACGGGAGGCAGCAGUGAGGAAUAUUGGUCAAUGGGCGGAAGCCUGAACCAGCCAAGUAGCGUGCAGGAUGACGGCCCUAUGGGUUGUAAACUGCUUUUAUACAGGAAUAAAGUUAGCCACGUGUGGUUAUUUGUAGGUACUGUAUGAAUAAGGACCGGCUAAUUCCGUGCCAGCAGCCGCAGUAA
rnacentral:rRNA from 1 species